CUGAGAUUAAAACACGCAUGCCAGUCUCACCCGGCGUGAGAUCUCUGGAGACACCGGUGUUCAUUUAGUCCUACGACCCGAUGUGAAGUUGCCUUCCACCCUCCGUCACGGUUCUGUUGUCUGAUCUGCCAGGGAGCCUCCGGCCUUGAACACUGACCAGUAUUAGAGAUGGAAGUCGAUGAAAAGUGACGGAGUCUUCCUCCAUCAGUUUCCGGCUUCAUUGCCCAGAGGCAACCGAAGUGAACAGUUUCUGGGCUGAUGGAGAGGGCCAAGGACAUGGAGGGCAGCAGAAGUGUCAGCGUGCAUAGCAACCAAGGAACAGUCUUUACUGUCCUUUUCUGUAAUCUUCGUAUCACCCGGAGUACACGGUGUCCCUGUAUCCCUUGGGUGACCUGUGACGGAGCGACUGUUUACAGAAGAGAAAGCUAUGGUUCCCAGAGUUACAUAGUUUGCUCAUGGUCUUGAGGUCGCAUAGCUGAUCAGGAUCAGGACAGAAACCGAGUUUCAUCCUGUCUUGGUCAGUGCUCUACUGCUGCAAAGAGACACCAGGGCCAAGGUAACUCUUACAAAGGAAAACUUUGGAUUGAGGCCGGCUUACACGUCCAAGGUUUAGUCCAUUAUAGUCAUGUGGGGAAGCGUGGUGGCGUGCUGGCAGGUGUGGCGUUGGAGACGGAGCAGAGAGUUCUACACCUGGAUCCGCAAGAAGGAAGAGAGAGAGCCUCCGAGCCUGGCUCAAGCUUUUGAAAUUUCAUAGCCCACCCCCCCCCAGUGACAGACUCCCCCCAGCAGGCCCACACCUUCUAAUGAUACUCACUAAGCUUUCGAAUAUACGGUCCUGUGGGCGCCGUUCCUAUUUGCAGCAUCACCAGCCUUAAACCAGAACACAGUGAUGACCGGGAGGACGAGGUUAGCAACACUGCACUGGAUCCUGGAGCGACUGGCUGGAAGGGACAGUGGAUUCUCAAGGCCUGUUUACACAGUCAUUCUGAUUCUGCCACCAAGUUACUUAAGGCAAUGCAAACUGGGGGAGCCAGCUCUCUUCUUUCAUUUUUUUCCCACUUCUGUCCCCAUUUUAUUUCCUUAGUGAAUUCUGGGUGUGAGACCUUAAGCCAAAUGGAUAAAAGCAUACUUCUCCAUCCUUGGACCACAACAGUCGGUUCAGAGACUUGGCAUGAACAGCAGGGGCCAGAGAGUUCUUCUCUGGGUCAUCCAAAAGUCAAGUGGGUUGGGGGGAGGCCCCAUCUUUUCAGGUGCUGAGGUAGUAGGAAUUGUGCCUGGCUGUUUCAGUCUAUUCAGAAGAUGAAGUCUGGUGCACAGAGGGUCAGGGGGAGUGUCAGGAGCAAGGGGGAGGAGGGAAAAGAGGAGGAGAGAAAAUGGAAACAGUUGAAGACUAGAGAGACCAUGCAGGGAACAGAAUGAGCUCCAGCAUGCCUAGUAGCAACCAGGUUCCAAGAAUCCAGUCAGUGCGAGCCAACACGUUUCCACUUUUUGUCUAAUCUAAUUUAAGUUGUUACUAGAGGAGUCCUGACCGACACCUCUGGGCUUCAGUUUUCUCACCCAUGAGCUGGUGUUAUAAUUGCCCUGACUGUAUCUGAGCCAUUGUAAGCAACAGUUGAGGUAAGGGACAGGAAAGCGCUUUGUAAAUUGUAAAAUGUGACACGAAUGCAGGAUGGCACUAUUCCUUGAUGUUACGCUGAACUAGGCAGAGUUGAAAAAAAAAAAAAAACGAAAUUACCACUCAUUUGGAAAAUAAGAAACGAGAGCUUGUGAGCCAUCUGGUCUUAAGGAAGCUGCCAGAGUUUCCUAGUGUUUCUUCUCAGACCUGCUUUCACAGUCCUUCAAGUUCUCUCGGUGCCCACAGUGAAUGCCAAGGAUAGACCUGGGUUAGUUUAGGAUAGACCUGAAUUCGUCCAAUGUUUGUCUCCAUUCUCCCUCCUUCCUUUAUUGCCUGCACCACAUACACACACCGUUGAAUUACUACUUCAGCGUUUUAUUUAGCUUGCCAUCCGUAGAGCUUUACCAAGUCAUACCAAAUAACAGUUUGGCCUUAUCAAAGAAAAAUCAUGGCAGAAAAUAAAGCAUAAAGCACCUAUUCUCACUAUAUCUCUUUUAGAAUGACAUUGCAUAGGUGAUUCUGGUUGUUUUGGGAUUUAGGUGGGCUCAGAAUUCACCUUCUUCAAAGCUGGAAGCUCAGAGUGUUGAGAUUAUAAUGUAUUCAUGAUGUAAAGAGUCAUAUUUCAGUCUUAUAGUAAUUUUCACUAUGUAUGAUAAUGCAUUCCAAUGAAAGAAAACAGAUGGGGCCUCCACAGAAACCUUAGCUUUGCUGUUUCAGAAGCGUUCAUCGUAUCGAACAUACACUUUUUUAUGUUUGAUAAUUAGAACCUCCCCCAAAGUCAUUUAAGGUCUCAGUGUGAUAUGAGGCUGUUCACAAAACGGUCGGAGCCAGUGUGGAAUCGAUUUAUAAAUGUGAAGGAAACGACCCAUCAGUCUCAUCGGGCUUCACAGUUGUCACAUUUGACAAUCCAGGAAACAAAAUCUCCUUCACUGGAGUCCCAAGUUCAUGAGCAUGUGUCACCUGACAGCCACCAAUGUCUGUGGGCAUGAGGUUGUCACUCUAUGCCGGAGGACUCCCCACACAUCCCCGCCUUCACCUAUGUGCCUGGCAUUGACACAACAAACAUCAAUACAUUGAUGCAAGCUGUGGACUUAGAAGAAGUUCAUAUUGUGAAUAGGAUUCUAGGACCCCGAGCUGCAGGAAAUGCCGGCUGUUUUGGAAACAGUUGGCACCUUCACACUGGUGCAUUUCAGCAGAGCUUAAGGCAGGGAGUGAUGGUUAAGGAUGUGGGCAGGGUCUAGGAAACAAGGAGAAGGAAAGUGUGGCUGCUCUCAUUGCCUUUCGGCCUGAAACAAUGACAGAAGUGAGGAGAGGACCUUUGGAGUGGGCUUGAGGCCACCAGGAAAGGCCAUAUUACGAUCCUGUAGACAGAAGUCCCAGGAAACAGCCUGGGUUGAUGCUCGUGCUCUCCACUGGCCAAGGCCCACGGGCAGGCAGAGACAUGCUGUCUGCCCUGGAGUCCAGGCAGUUCAGUGUGCCGGGGCACAGAGCCGGGAGAACGGCUAAUGGAAGAUAAUUCAGCCUGGUCUAUCUAGGAAAGUCUUGCAUGAGACAAAUGGCUGCCCUUCCCUCCGAUGUAACCCAAGAAAAUACUGCUUCAGUAUUUUCAUGUUUGCCUGCAUUUUACUUAAUCAGACUGGAGCCCAUGUUCCAGUGGCCCCAAAUACAGCAGUAGCAUUUGAACAGAGCUCAGUCGUGGGGCACGCGAUGGCCUGGAGGCGAUUACGAGAUCUCAAGACCAUUCUUCUUGUCUUAUUCAGAGCUAGGAUGGCAACUUCAGCAAACAGUUUGAGUUCAUGGUGUCAAGUAGCCGGGCGCCACUGACAAACGUGUCUAGCCCACAGUCAGGGUCUCCCACAGUGAAAGGAAUGGCUGUCAUUCGAAAGAAGUGCCCAGUCCAGCCAGAGGGCUAAAGGGCAAAGUUUUGCUUGCUUCUAUUUUUUUUAAAUCAGUUCAAUUAUUUUCCUUCCUUUGCCUAAGAAGCCAGGAUUCCUUACUUUGAUCAGCCUAGGUGAACUACGUUGAACCACUAAGAAUGAGCAAACUGGCUGAUCUGGGUACACGUUCAUAAUUAGCAAAGGCAGGGAAAUGGCAGUCAAAAGGAAACAUGUGUCUUUCUGCCCUGUGCUCUAAACCUCUUCUGUGGACCAGAAAAACUCCCUGGGAAAUGCAGAUGGGCGAACUUGAGAGUGUGAGGAACAAUGAAGGAUGCUGGGUAUGAAGUAGGACAUCUCAGCACGAUACCCGUUAGCCUUGGCGAGCCGCUCAACUCUCUCUCCCUCAGGUCUUCGUACCAUGAGAAGAGUCUGACUGGCUUCAGCAUUAACUGACAUCAUGUGUACCAAGCGAAGACAUUGCUUUCCGUCCAGUAAUACUAGAGAUGUGUAUCCAUAUUUAAAUACCCGGGUCCAAGAAUAACUGAUCACUGAGACGACGCAGUUAAUGUCUGGGCUCUGAUGGGUGGAUCAGGGAGCAGCAGCAGGUCCCUGUAAUCCCAGAACACGGGGGGAUGGAAGGCAGAGAACUACAGAUGAGAAGUAAGCAAGAGCCUGUCUCCAAAACAAAGCUAAACCAAGGAAACGUACAAUUAGAUUUACUUUAUAAAAUCAUUUAUAAAAAUCAUUAGUUCUUUUGUUGAUAUAUAACUGAUACCCAAUAAACGAUGUGUUUAAAGAAUGUGAUUUCACGAAUCUAAGCCGUAUGAAGCCACAGCCAUAACCAAGGAAAUGAUGACGUCCACUCAUGAGCUGCUUUAUCACAGUGAUCAGCCAGAUCCCCUCCCCAUCCCAGCAUAAUCACAUCCAGAGGCAGCCGUGCUGUCUACAUUACCUGCUUCUUCCUUUAAGACAAACAGUAUUUACUACAGUUGAGGUUUUCCCCCAAAUCCCAUGUUAUUACAGCUGACAGCCCCAUUAUCAUCCUUUCGGAGCAACACAGUAAACACAGAGUGGGUGCCAUGCAGAACAGCAAUAGUCGCAUUUACGAAUCCCUGGUUUUCUUUGAGUUCAAAGCUAAAGGCCGCUUCUUUAAGCUUCCUAAGCUUCCUAAAGACAAGCAAGGCGGUGGAAAGAAGCUAGUGGCCACCGGCUGAUAAACGGCGAAUGACACUGUGAUAUGUGAUAGCCACAAGAAGGAACGGUGUCGUGAUGCAGGCUCCAACAUGGGCAAAGCAGAGAACGUUAUGCUAAGUGACAGAAACCACAGACUGUGGUUUUAUUCAUCGACGUAUCCAAAAAGGGGACAACCAUAGAGGCGCAGGGUAGAGUGGAGGUGUCGGGAGCUGGUGGGAGGCAGGAGAAAAUGAAUAUGACUCUGCUUUUGCCGUGAUGAAAAUAUCCAGGAACGUAGCACUGAUGAUGGAUACGUGACUGUGUGUGGUAUCCCAAUAAAGUUACGUGGGGGAAU
ensembl:lncRNA Gng2 G protein subunit gamma 2